GAAUAUGUAGCUCAGUGGUACAGCACACACUUUGUAUGUGUGAGGCCCUGCGUUCAAUCUCCAGCAUCA
rnacentral:tRNA from 1 species